rnacentral:lncRNA from 1 species
GAAACUUGACUAAACUGAUGAAGGGCAUUUGUCAAAAGUUAAUCAUAGCUAGUGGGAGUUGGUCACUUGUUUUUUUUUUAUGCAGACAACUUACAAAAGGUUAAGACUUGAGGGCUAUUAUCACCGCCUCACAAAUAAUAUCAAAAAUAAACAAUGACCAAGUCAUCUUUAGCCUAUGCACAAAUUCUUGAGUUUCGCCACUAAUUCAAUACUAUUCUAUAAUUUUUCGAUCGGUAAUCAUUAUCACAAAUACUUUUUAAAAAAAGACAAAGUUUAACUUGAAUUUACACCAUUUGAAGAUUUGAUUACUUUUUUUUUCUCUUUUUACUAUAUCAUGUUUAAGGUUGAUUGAUAUGAUAAUAUUUAAGCUCUUACAAUAAAAUCAUGUGGGAAGGUCAUCUCCAUUUUGCAAAUGCCUUCAUAUGGAGAUCACAUGAAUGUCAGAAGAAUUAAACAGCUAGCAGCUAGCUGCAUAGAAAACUCCAUGUUCCUACUAUACCUAAUUAAAAU